rnacentral:rRNA from 1 species
AACGAACGCUGGCGGCAUGCCUAACACAUGCAAGUCGAACGAAACCUUCGGGUCUAGUGGCGCACGGGUACGUAACGCGUGGGAACCUGCCCUUAGGUUCGGAAUAACUCCCCGAAAGGGGUGCUAAUACCGGAUAAUGUCUUCGGACCAAAGAUUUAUCGCCAUUGGAUGGGGCCGCGUUGGUUUAGCUAGUUGGUAGUGUAAAAGCCUACCAAGGCGACGAUCCAUAGCUGGUCGGAGAGGAUGAUCAGCCACACUGGGACUACGACACGGCCCAGACCGGUAGGGAGGGGAGGAGUAGGGAAUAUUAGACACUGGGCGAAAGCCUAGUAAAGCCGUGCCGCGUGAGUGAUGAAGGCCUUAGGGUUGUAAAGCUGUUUUACCCGGGAUGAUAAUGACAGUACCGGGAGAAUAAGCUCCGGCUAACUCCGUG